CACCCCACUCUGAUUAUUCCACCAUUGCCAGAAAAGUUUAUAGUAAAGGGAAUGGUAGAACGCUUUAAUGAUGACUUCCUUGAGACACGCAGGAAAGGCAUUACAAAAAUUUUUGAACCGAAUUGCUGAUCAUCCAACUUUAACAUUUAAUGAAGACUUCAAAGUUUUUCUCACUGCGCAAGCUUGGGAACUCUGGUCUCACAAGAAGCAAGGGCCUGUGUUGCUAAGCAGGAUGGGGCAAACUGUUAGAGCUGUUGCAUCCUCAAUGAGAGGAGUUAAAAACCGCCCAGAGGAGUUCAUGAAAAUGAAUAACUUUAUUGAAAUAUUUAGCCAGAAAAUAAAUUUGAUAGAUAAAAUAUCUCAGAGAAUUUACAAGGAAGAAAGAGAAUAUCUUGAUGAAAUGAAAGAAUAUGGCCCAAUUUAUAUUCUGUGGUCAGCAUCAGAAGAUCUGGUUGAUACUCUGAGAAAUGUUGCCAGCUGUAUUGACAGAUGCUGUAAAGCCACUGAAAAAUGGAUGUCUGGACUCUCAGAGGCCCUGCUUCCUGUAGUACACGAGUACGUGCUUUAUAGUGAAAUGUUAAUGAGUGUUAUGAAAAGAAGAGACCAAAUACAAGCAGAACUGGAUUCCAAAGUUGAAGCUUUGACCUAUAAAAAGGCAGAUACUGAUCUACUUACAGAAGAGACUGGAAAACUUGAAGACAAAGUGGAAUGUGCUAAUAAUGCCCUGAAAGCAGAUUGGGAAAGAUGGAAACAAAAUAUGCAAAAUGAUAUCAACUCAGCAUUUACAGAUAUGGCUGAGGAGAAUAUCCACUAUUAUGAACAGUGCCUUGCUACGUGGGAAUCAUUCCUUACAUCACAGACUGACCUCCAAUUGGAAGAAGCCUCUGAUGAUAAAGCUUAAUCCUGUCAAGGACUUCUGUUUGAUCUUUGGGGAACAGCAUCUAUCAACCAAAGUUAUUCUUUCAGGAUCUGCUGUGUCCUUUGUAAAGUGGAUGAGAAGUGUUUUUUACUAUCUGGAAAACCAACAACUUGAAAACUCAGGUAUUCCAGGUCAUUGAUAUGAAUUUGGAAAUAUAUAUCUAUCAAAUAGAUUGAUAUAUAUCUAUAUAUCAAUACACAGAUAUAUAGAGAAAUUUAGCUUAGUUAUAAUUAUGCUGUCAAAUUUGUGUGCCAAUAAUUGCAUAUAGAAUUUUUUUUAAAUAUAUGACUGUGGAACAUGACAGUGUUGUAAAGACUCAGUUUU